CGUCUCCGUGACCGGCCGGUCGGCGCGCUCCAGUUCCUGGCGGGCGGGUGCGGGGGCCGGCGGGAGCAGGGCCGGUUCGAUGCCGGCGGCGGCGA
rnacentral:tRNA from 2 species